rnacentral:lncRNA from 1 species
UGGAUGGGUGGUAGACUUGUGACCCUUGCCUCAGCGUCCAGAGUGCUGGGAUUAAGAGCCUGAGUCACCAUACCCAGCUACCUCUGAUCUCCUCUGCACUCCAGACGGCAGCUCUCCUAGCUUAAACAGCCUGGAAAAGCAGCCUCUCCACACACAGGAGUUGGAUGGUUCAUGACUGGUCCUUGAGGGAAAGAUUCUAAGAAAAGGAGAGAAAGCCUCGAGAAACGCACACUUUGGACCACAGAGAAUGCUGCAGUGAGCCAGGGCUCUGCCCCAGUAAAAUAAGAAACUGAAAUCGUGUUGUACGCAAACACUGAGUGGAAACGGACGGACGAUCCUGCAGUUUGGCCGCCAGAGCUGGGACUCCUUCCAUCUGUAUCCAGGACAUUUAGGAAUUUGGACGCAUGCCACAGGAAGGUUCGCAGAGCACUUAAUCAAGUGCUCCGGAGGUUAAGUUUCAGGAAAGCUCGCUUGGAUCCAAGAUAAAGGCGGGGUGUAAAACUGAAAACAAGAGUUGCCUGGGUCACGGAGGUCCUCUGAUCUCCUCUGCGCUCUGGACGGCAGCUCUUCCAGCUUAACAGGUUGG